rnacentral:rRNA from 1 species
CGUAGGGGCAAGCGUUGUCCGGAUUUAUUGGGCGUAAAGAGCGUGUAGGCGGCCAGGUAGGUCAGCUGUGAAAACUCGAGGCUCAACCUCGAGACGCCGGUUGAAACCAUCUGGCUAGAGUCCGGAAGAGGAGAGUGGAAUUCCUGGUGUAGCGGUGAAAUGCGCAGAUAUCAGGAAGAACACCCGUGGCUAAGGCGGCUCUCUAGUACGGUACUGACGCUGAGACGCGAAAGCGUGGGGAGCGAACAGGAUUAGAUACCCUGGUAGUCCACGCCGUAAACGAUGGGUGCUAGGUGUGGGGGGGUGUCGACUCCCUCCGUGCCGCAGCUAACGCAUUAAGCACCCCGCCUGGGGAGUACGGCCGCAAGGCUA